rnacentral:rRNA from 1 species
UCAGCAGCCGCGGUAAUACGGAGGGGGCUAGCGUUGUUCGGAAUUACUGGGCGUAAAGCGCACGUAGGCGGCUUUGUAAGUCAGAGGUGAAAGCCUGGAGCUCAACUCCAGAACUGCCUUUGAGACUGCAUCGCUUGAAUCCAGGAGAGGUCAGUGGAAUUCCGAGUGUAGAGGUGAAAUUCGUAGAUAUUCGGAAGAACACCAGUGGCGAAGGCGGCUGACUGGACUGGUAUUGACGCUGAGGAACGAAAGCGUGGGGAGCAAACAGGAUUAGAUACCCUGGUAGUCCACGCCGUAAACGAUGAUAACMAAGCUGUACCGG